AAUUAGGGUUUUGUUAUUAAUGUGAAUUUCUGGUGUAGGGAUUUUAGGGUUUUUAAAUUACAGUUUGUAGAUUGGUGAUUGAUCAUUGAUCUGUUGGAAAAAUCCCCUAAAUUAUCUGGUGUAGGGAAUUUCAUGCAAUUCUUCAUUUAUAGCCUUGAUAUUGAUACGGGCUGAUAAAUUUGUUACCACAGAAAUGGCAGCUUUGACUUUCCCUUAUCACAUCAUCUAUAAAGACUCUUUUGAAGCCAGCAAUGGUUAAAUUGCUGCUACGUUGAACUGAAUUAUGUUUUCUGAAUUGUGCAACAAUGGUUAUGAGUAAUCGAACUAAGUAAUGGCAAGGGUUCGAUCAUGUGAAAGUUGCGGUAGUGCAAUUUAAUUGAGCCUCCGUUUAUUUCUUUCUGUUGUGAAUCUUCUCCCAUGCUCAGCUUCUGUGAGUUCUGUUCUAGUCUGGAAUUGGAUCCUUUCUCUUGACUCUUGAGAGCUGCAUUUUAAGUUGUUGUUGUCGUUGUAGUCAUUCUAGUAUGCCUUGUAUGCUAAAUAAGUUGUUUUGUUGAACUCUAUCAACAAUUCGUUUCGUAUAUACUGACAUCAAAAUGUCUGCAACAUUGUAUCCAGUAACCAUUACAAUAGUGUUGUUUUUCUGAUUCUAGUUCUGUUUUCCUACUUUGGAUUGUUUCACUUUUUGAAUUGAUUUUCGAAGAACCGAGUAAUUAAAAGAGACACACACACACACACACACAUAUUCCUGUCUUUGUAUCUGUUUGUGUACCAUAGUGCAUAAAGUAUGGGUUGUUUAAAAGUCAUGGUUUGGAUUAAGGUCGUUUCUGAUAGCACGCAGUCCUGAUUUUUAUCAAAGUGGAAUGUUGGUGUGAGUUUGAAUAUAUGUAUUGUCAUAUAAGCUCUUUUGUUUUACUUUGCAUAAACUAUGGUAACAGUAUGUUAAGCGAAAAGUUGCGUUUGUCUUUAGAAGUAUACAAAUUAAACCUUGAUCUUAUGAGGGAGUAUAUAUAUUAUAUCUUAGGGAGGCAUAUAUAGAUGGUAUUAGCAGGAUGAACUCUGCCUUGCACACAGAAAUUUGGAAAUUGUAACUGUUGUAAUGCUUUCACUGGCUAUCUGUAGACAUGGAUGUUGUUGUUUGGUUCUUGACUGUGGGAAGCUGUGAGCUGCCAGCAUUGCAAAGGUGUUAAUGUUAGAGCUCUUUUCUGUGGGACAGUUCAUUCCGCAUUAUUUCCAUUGCAUUUUGGCAACUAUAUUGAAGUAAUAACAAAAAAAAAAAAAAAAAAAAAAAAGUAAAGGACCUGUGGACCCGGCCCAUUUCAACCGGGCCGGGUUAGGUCCGGUUCCUAUAUUAGAAUAUGUUAUUCCCGGCCCGUGGCCACCCCUUGAGAAUGGUGAUCGUCUUGGUAAUUUCACGUUAUAGGUACAUAGUAAUAAUAAUUGUCUUUGUUUU